rnacentral:lncRNA from 1 species
CAGGUUUAAGGCAUUUAAAGAUGAAGAUAAAGAUUUUCUUGCACAAACAAGGUCUUAUGGAGAAUAACUGAGGAUAUAAAACAAUGCGAGAAAUAAUAGAACAGACAAAUGUGACACAAGAUGCCCACCAUCCAGUGGAAGAGAAAGGGAAAAUUAAGAAAAACAAGAAAGCUACAAAGAAAUAGUUCAAAAUUAACAGACACCGGAGGCACUGACAUCUGGGACAUCUGGCCUCAUCCCUAACUUGAACACCCGCUUCCUGUGCACUAGGCUAGCUAGAGGAAUCUUAAGGUAAACUCCCCAACUGCAAAGAACUGUUAUGUAUGAGUUAAAGUUAACUAUCCCGUGACCAUGAUGUGAACUAUGAGAAUGAAACGUAAUCAUCCAUAUGAAGCCAAGGCUGUAAAACCCUAUAAAAGGAGGAGUUGUAACCCAGUGUGUGGUCAAUCCAGGCACUGUUUAUGUGCAAUCAACCCUCUUCAAUGAGUAAAUUUGUUAUUUUACUUCCAUUCUGCUGCCUCUCUGUGUAUCACUUGCAAAUUCCUUCUGCAACAUCCUGGGGAGUAUAGAAUCUUCAAAUGCUUUAAUUCUAGGCAUCCUCUUCCAAUAGCAAUGCUACUAUUACCCAGUAUUUAUUCUAUUUUUUCCCAUUAACCAAGCAAGUUAGAGAAUACUACUAUUAAGUUUUAUAAAGU